rnacentral:tRNA from 1 species
GGGAGCAGAUGGGGUCCUGGUGGCCCUCGCGGUCUUCAAAACCGUCUGCGGCGCAGUGAUCCUGCGCUGGGUGGGUUCGAUUCCCACAUGCUCCCGCCA